CAGUAGCCGCGGUAAAACGAAGGGGGCUAGCGUUGUUCGGAUUUACUGGGCGUAAAGCGCACGUAGGCGGAUCGAUCAGUCAGGGGUGGAAUCCCAGAGCUCAACUCUGGAACUGCCUUUGAUACUGUCGAUCUGGAGUAUGGAAGAGGUGAGUGGAAUUCCGAGUGUAGAGGUGAAAUUCGUAGAGAUCUGGAGGAAUACCGGUGGCGAAGGCGGCCCCCUGGACAAAGACUGACGCUCAGGUGCGAAAGCGUGGGGAGCAAACAGGAUUAGAUACCCGCGUAGUCCCUGUCUCUUAUAC
rnacentral:rRNA from 1 species